AGUAAAGUCAGCUAAAAAAGCUUUCGGGCCCAUACCCCGAAAAUGUUGGUUGCCCAACCUUUACUA
rnacentral:tRNA from 1 species